rnacentral:rRNA from 1 species
GUAGGAGGCGAGCGUUAUCCGGAAUUACUGGGCGUAAAGAGAGCGUAGGGUGGGUCUUUCAAGUCCUGGGUGAAAUCUCCCGGCUCAACUGGGAGGGGACCCCCGGGAUACUGGGAGGCUUGAGGGCAGCAGAGGGAGGUGGAAUUCCCGGUGUAGUGGUGAAAUGCGUAGAUAUCGGGAGGAACACCAGUGGCGAAGGCGGCCUCCUGGGCUGUACCUGACGCUGAGGCUCGUAAGCGUGGGGAGCGAACCGGAUUAGAUACCCGGGUAGUCCACGCCCUAAACGAUGGACACUAGCUAUGGGGGGUAUCGACCCCCUCCGUGGCGAAGCUAACGCCUUAAGUGUCCCGCCUGGGGAGUACGGCCGCAAGGCUA